CACGUAGGGUGCAAGCGUUGUCCGGAAUUAUUGGGCGUAAAGGGCUCGUAGGCGGUCCGUCACGUCGGGAGUGAAAACUCGGGGCUCAACCCCGAGCCUGCUUUCGAUACGGGCAGACUAGAGGUAUGCAGGGGAGAACGGAAUUCCUGGUGUAGCGGUGAAAUGCGCAGAUAUCAGGAGGAACACCGGUGGCGAAGGCGGUUCUCUGGGCAUUACCUGACGCUGAGGAGCGAAAGUGUGGGGAGCGAACAGG
rnacentral:rRNA from 1 species